rnacentral:pre_miRNA from 1 species
GCCAGGAAAAGGAAGCACAAGAGGGCUUAAGAGCAUAGGCAUGGGAACAUGAAGGAAAGCCUAAGUUCUCUGAUUUCAUGUUUAGAACUGGAGGUUAAGAUACUGUUUGAGUUUUACUAAUGCCUCCCAUGCCUAUUGCUCUUUGGUGCUCCUUCCUCUUCCUUUGGUUC